UUUAUAUACACAGAGGGUAAUCAAGGAGACAAGAAAUACCUGGGAACAAUCAAGGGGAGACAGGACAACACAGAGACUCAGAGACACAGAAACU